rnacentral:rRNA from 1 species
UCUCCUGGGAAACGGGUGGUAAUGCCGGAUGCUCCAGUCCAUCGCAUGGUGGUCUGGGAAAGAUUUCAUCGGUAUGGGAUGGGGUCGCGUCCUAUCAGGUAGUCGGCGGGGUAACGGCCCACCGAGCCUACGACGGGUAGCCGGCCUGAGAGGGCGACCGGCCACAUUGGGACUGAGAUACGGCCCAGACUCCUACGGGAGGCAGCAGUGGGGAAUAUUGCACAAUGGGCGCAAGCCUGAUGCAGCGACGCCGCGUGCGGGAUGGAGGCCUUCGGGUUGUAAACCGCUUUUGUCGGGGAGCAAGCCUUCGGGUGAGUGUACCCUUCGAAUAAGCACCGGCUAACUACGUGCCAGCAGCCGCGGUAAUACGUAGGGUGCAAGCGUUAUCCGGAAUUAUUGGGCGUAAAGAGCUCGUAGGCGGUUCGUCGCGUCCGGUGUGAAAGUCCAUCGCUUAACGGUGGAUCUGCGCCGGGUACGGGCGGGCUGGAGUGCGGUAGGGGAGACUGGAAUUCCCGGUGUAACGGUGGAAUGUGUAGAUAUCG